rnacentral:rRNA from 1 species
GUGAAAUUGUUGAAAGGGAAACGCUUGAAGUCAGUCGUGCUAGUAUGAACUCAGCUUCGUACAUUUUAAUAUUUAUUGAUAUAGUGAGUUUCAAAACCCGCUGUAUUUAGUAAUAUUGAAUGUAUUAGGCGUAUUUUUGUAUUAGCUGGUUAGUAUCAAUUUUGACUAUCAUAAAAAGGCUAGGGGGAUGUGGCUCUUUUCGGAGAGUGUUAUAACCCUUAGCGGAAUGUGAUGGUUAGGAUUGAGGUUUGCAAUGAAUAUUGAUCCACCUGAUCUCUCAUUGACAUCUUGGUGACGACAGCUUGCUGACGUUAUUAAGAUUUGUUGAUGAAUAGGUUAGAAUGGAACGCGUUCAUUAAGGAUACUGACGUAAUGGCUUUAAACGAC